CCUACAGGUGGCAGCAGUGAGGAAUAUUGGUCAAUGGACGAGAGUCUGAACCAGCCAAGUAGCGUGAAGGAUGACUGCCCUAUGGGUUGUAAACUUCUUUUAUAUGGGAAUAAAACAGGGUAGGCAUACACUCUUGUAUGUACCAUAUGAAGAAGGAUCGGCUAACUCCGUGCCAGCAGCCGCGGUAAUACGGAGGAUCCGAGCGUUAUCCGGAUUUAUUGGGUUUAAAGGGAGCGUAGGUGGAUUGUGAAGUCCGUUGUGAAAGUUUGCGGCUCAACCGUAAAAUUGCAGUUGAAACUGGCACUCUUGAGUACAGUAGCGGUGGGCGGACUUCGUGGUGUAGCGGUGAACUGCUUAGAUAUCACGAAGAACUCCGAUUGCGAAGGCAGCUCACUGGACUGCACCUGACACUGAUGCUCGAAAGUGUGGGUAUCACACAGGAUUAGAUACCCCAGUAGUC
rnacentral:rRNA from 1 species